rnacentral:rRNA from 1 species
UGGCUCAGAUUGAACGCUGCGGCAUGCUUUACACAUGCAAGUCGAACGGCAGCGCGGGGCAACCUGGCGGCGAGUGGCGAACGGGUGAGUAAUAUAUCGGAACGUACCCAAGAGUGGGGGAUAACGUAGCGAAAGUUACGCUAAUACCGCAUACGAUCUAUGGAUGAAAGUGGGGGAUUCGCAAGAACCUCAUGCUCCUGGAGCGGCCGAUAUCUGAUUAGCUAGUUGGUGAGGUAAAGGCUCACCAAGGCGACGAUCAGUAGCUGGUCUGAGAGGACGACCAGCCACACUGGAACUGAGACACGGUCCAGACUCCUACGGGAGGCAGCAGUGGGGAAUUUUGGACAAUGGGCGCAAGCCUGAUCCAGCAAUGCCGCGUGAGUGAAGAAGGCCUUCGGGUUGUAAAGCUCUUUUGUCAGGGAAGAAACGGUUGAGGCUAAUAUCCUCGGCUAAUGACGGUACCUGAAGAAUAAGCACCGGCUAACUACGUG